GGGCACAUGGUGUAGUUGGUUAUCACGUUCGCUUCGCACUUUACGGUCGGCAUCUGCGAAAGGUGUCCGGUUCAAUUCCGGAUGUGUCCA